UUUAAACAUUUUCUCUUUCAUUUUUCCAAUAUGCAAAAGGUGAACUCGUUAUGUUUUCUUCUUUCUCUCUGAAAACCCUAGCGCCGCCGUCGAACCACCUUCUGCCUCUUCCUCCGUCACCUCACCUCCAAUCGAAGAAAGGAGGUCAUUUUUGUGUUCAUCAUCACGUGACCUUUAACCUGAACCAGUUGGAUUUUUGUAUUAGACAAUUUCAGUUUAAAUGCAUUAUGCUACUUCGUGAACGGAGGUGGCGAUGUUUGGAUCAACGAGAAUCGCUUCCGCGUCUUGCGUCAGCUCGGAGAAGGCGGCUUCACUUACGUCUACCUCGUCAAGGAAACUCCCAACGACUCUCCCGCCGGUGGCCUCGCCAAUAAACUCAAAGACUUCUCUCAUCUUUCCGGAUUUGAUCUUCCUCAGCCAGGAUUUAGGCCUGCAGAAAGGGUUGAGGAGACGGGUCGGCGACUUGAGAAGUACUGCAAGAAGUUCAAGGUUCCAUUUGAGUACAAUUCGCAGGAAGAUCCAUAUAGGUUGAUGUUUGAGAAAGGGUUAUAUGGAAGGGAUGCAAUAAAUGUGAUAGCUUGUGAGGGAGCAGAGAGAGUUGAAAGGCCAGAGACUUACAAGAAUUGACAGAUGCAAGGAGCCUAUUGAGCCAUUGACAAUUGAAGAAGUAGCUGAAUGUUGCCAUGCUCCAGAAGAUGUACACCAUUUACCUCACUGCUAAAUGCUCUCCAAUAUUAAUUUUUUCAAUUAUGUUAUUGAAUCAAAUUAAUAAAAAGUAUUAAUUAGUUAGAUAGAUUUUUGGUAACAUUUAAUUUUUCUUGAAGAACAUUUAGUAUAUCUGUUGAAGUGUUGAGUGUUGAUUUUUGGUAACACCCUAAUUUUUCUUUGCUUUGGCAUCAACUUUUACUAGAAAGCUUCUAAGUGUUGAGUUAGAGCCACAAUUUGAUAAGCCAUAUCUAAGCACUUCACUUCAAGUUGUGCAUCCAAAAUUUCCUGAAAACAAUACCAUUCACCUAUACUAUAUUCCUUUGAAGAACAUAUAUAAAUCCCUCACACAGUCACUAAUUAACAUGUUUGCAUUUUGGCUAUGCUACAAAAAAUCUUUAGGUCUUCUCCUUUAAAUAGUUCUUAAAUUAAGAAAAGAGAAUAGUAGAAUUAUAUAUUUUUUAGUUUUAGCUUUCAUGAUUAAUUUCUUUGUACAUACACACAAUUCAAAACUCUAAACACGUGACAAAUGAUUGAAGGAAUAAGAGAGUUGUGACAAAUCAUGUAUAAAUUAGUAGAAGGUGUGAUGCAGAGCUGAGAUUUAUACUGGUGCCAAUCUUAGCUAGUGAACUAAGUUUUUCUUUUUCUAAAGGUGUAAGAUUCUAUGUAAUAGGGAUGAACAAUUAAAUAACAAGCCAUUGUAGUAAUGAAUUAAUUCUUCAUGGUUGACAUAAGAAAAUUCAGUUUACAUUGAUUAUAAACUUGGUGAUUUUUGAAAACAAAUUGUUUGUUGAAAUGCCACAAUGAGUUUAUUAGGUUGAUUCUGAGUUGGGGCUUGAAUGUUAAUCUUCUAUCAUGGUGGAUGUUUUAUGGACGGUUGGUGUUUAUCUAUGCCUUUCCAAAGUUAAGUUAACCGACGAAGGGCUGAAGCAUUUGUUGCAGAAAUGCUUAUCCCUUCAAAGUUUGAAUCUCUAUGCAGUGUCUAGGUAUGAAUUGAAACUCAACCUAUUGAAGUUCAAUUUGUCUUUCUUUCCCUGAAAAUUCACUGCAUUACUCUUAUUCAGUUUCACAGCUCAUGUUUUUGGAUCUCUGUGGUGCCCAGGUAAAAUCUUCGGUUGUUGUAGAUUUCUCCGCACAAUUCUAUCUAAUGCAAACUGCUAAUAGAAAUAAGUUUGCCUUGCAGAAUCUUUCAGACGAAGGACUUGAAUGUAUUUCGAAAUGCAAGAACCUUGUAUCCCUCAAUCUGACUUGGUGUGUACGUGUGACCGAUGAGGGAGUUAUAGUUGUUGCUCAGAGUUGCACCUCUCUUGAAUUUCUAAGUAUGGAUUGAACAAUGGGUGCUACUAGUGUUCAAGCAAUUCAGUGAGGUGUCAAUGUCUUGAUUGAGAAUGAGUAUGGGGCAGAGUAAAUUACUUGGACCUGUUGGCUAUAAUUAUAUGAGCUGGGCUGCAAAAAUGGCUGUUGAAAUGGGAACCGGGGUUCCAUGGGUGAUGUGCAAGGAAGACGAUGCUCCAGAUCUAGUGAUAAACACUUGCAAUGGCUUUUAUUGUGAUAAAUUUACUCCCAAUAAACCUUACAAGCCUACAAUGUGGACAGAGGCUUGGAGUGGCUGUUUCUUCCUAUGUUAGGUUGGAGUGCAAACAUCUCAGAUGGAAAUGUUUCCUACAAAUACUCAUAUGUUCUCAUGGAAGAGUUUCGUUGAAGAUACUUCUUCUAGUUCUACAAAUACAAUCACUGCUUCUGGUCUCUUGGAACAGAUAAAUGUAACAUGAGAUAUAAGUGAUUUACCUUUGGUAUAUAACUAGCGUUGAUGUUGAUUCGUCCGAAUCCUUUCUCCAUGGAGGCAAACUCCCUUCUCUCAUUGUUCAGUCCACUGGCCAUGCUGUGCAUGUUUUUAUCAAUGGUCGACUUUCUGGCUCUGCCUAUGGAACGAGGGAGGACAGGAGAUUCAGAUAUAUUGGCGAUGUAAAUCUUCGUGUCGGAACAAACACUAUAGCUUUGCUAUGUGUGCUGUUGGACUUCCAGUAAGUUUUGUUUUCCACCCUUAUUUUCAGAAGAUCAUUCUACUAUGGAUUUUAUUCUUCACCUACUACUUAGUGCUUACUGAUAUCAUUCUUUUUUUUAUAAUGUUUCAAAAGUUUAUAAUUUUUUUUAAUUUGAGAUAGAAAUU